rnacentral:tRNA from 1 species
CACAUACUCUAAAACCUU